rnacentral:rRNA from 1 species
AACGAACGCUGGCGGCAUGCCUAACACAUGCAAGUCGAACGGGAUCCUGGUUUCGGCCAGGUGAGAGUGGCGGACGGGUGAGUAACGCGUGGGAACCUGCCCAGUGGUGGGGAUAACUGCGGGAAACUGCAGCUAAUACCGCAUGAGCCCGCAAGAGGAAAGAUUGAUCGCCAUUGGAGGGGCCCGCGUUCGAUUAGGUAGUUGGUGAGGUAACGGCUCACCAAGCCUUCGAUCGAUAGCUGGUCUGAGAGGAUGAUCAGCCACACUGGGACUGAGAUACGGCCCAGACUCCUACGGGAGGCAGCAGUGGGGAAUAUUGGACAAUGGGGGCAACCCUGAUCCAGCAAUGCCGCGUGAGUGAU